AUUGAGACUUCGGUGGAUUUGAUUUAUUUCUAGUGGCGGACGGGUGAGUAACGCGUGGGUAACCUGCCUUAUACAGGGGGAUAACAGUCAGAGAUGGCUGCUAAUACCGCAUAAGCGCACAGAGCUGCAUGGCUCAGUGUGAAAAACUCCGGUGGUAUAAGAUGGACCCGCGUUGGAUUAGCUGGUUGGUGGGGUAACGGCCCACCAAGGCGACGAUCCAUAGCCGGCCUGAGAGGGUGAACGGCCACAUUGGGACUGAGACACGGCCCAGACUCCUACGGGAGGCAGCAGUGGGGAAUAUUGCACAAUGGGGGAAACCCUGAUGCAGCGACGCCGCGUGAAGGAAGAAGUAUCUCGGUAUGUAAACUUCUAUCAGCAGGGAAGAUAGUGACGGUACCUGACUAAGAAGCCCCGGCUAACUACGUGCCAGCAGCCGCGGUAAUACGUAGGGGGCAAGCGUUAUCCGGAUUUACUGGGUGUAAAGGGAGCGUAGACGGUGUGGCAAGUCUGAUGUGAAAGGCAUGGGCUCAACCUGUGGACUGCAUUGGAAACUGUCAUACUUGAGUGCCGGAGGGGCAAGCGGAAUUCCUAGUGUAGCGGUGAAAUGCGUAGAUAUUAGGAGGAACACCAGUGGCGAAGGCGG
rnacentral:rRNA from 1 species